CAUGAAGCCGGAAUUGCUAGUAAUGGCAGGUCAGCAUACUGCCGUGAAUACGUUCCCGGGCCUUGUACACACCGCCCGUCACACCAUGAGAGUUGGGAAUACCCGAAGCCUGUGAGCUAACUUUUAGAGGCAGCAGUCGAAGGUAGAAUCAAUGAUUGGGGUGAAGUCGUAACAAGGUAUC
rnacentral:rRNA from 1 species